rnacentral:rRNA from 1 species
UGGUGGAGUGAUUUGUCUGGUUUAUUCCGUUAACGAACGAGACCUUAACCUGCUAAAUAGAGCAUUCAACAGUCUGAUAUGGAGUGAAUCGGCGGCGGCACUGAAUCUUCACGGAUUUAGUCUUCUUCCGUGGAUCUUCUGACUCGUUGAAUGAAUCUUCUUAGAGGGACUACUGGCGCCUAAGUCAGUGGAAGUUUGAGGCAAUAACA